GACUAAGUGAUUGUGGGCGGGGCGUCAGGCCCCGUCUAAGAUAUAGUCGGUCUUUGUCCGAAAGGGCAGAGCCUAGCGCGUCCGUAGGUGAACCUGCGGAAGGAUCAUUAAAGAAUCGCCCCGUUUUUUGAAAUGGGUUCUAUUCCCAAACCGUGUAUACAUACCUUUGUUGCUUUGGCAGGCCGCCUUUUAGGCGUCGGCUCCGGCUGACUGCGCCUGCCAGAGGACCCAAACUCGUUUGUUUAGUGAUGUCUGAGUACUAUAUAAUAGUUAAAACUUUCAACAACGGAUCUCUUGGUUCUGGCAUCGAUGAAGAACGCAGCGAAAUGCGAUAAGUAAUGUGAAUUGCAGAAUUCAGUGAAUCAUCGAAUCUUUGAACGCACAUUGCGCCCCUUGGUAUUCCGAGGGGCAUGCCUGUUCGAGCGUCAUUAUAACCACUCAAGCCUCGGCUUGGUCUUGGGGUUCGCGGUCUCGCGGCCCUUAAAAUCAGUGGCGGUGCCGUCUGGCUCUAAGCGUAAUAAUUCUCUCGCUAUANAGUCCCGGUGGCUACCUGCCAGAACCCCCCAUUUUUUACGGUUGACCUCGGAUCAGGUAGGGAUACCCGCUGAACUUAAGCAUAUC
rnacentral:rRNA from 1 species